CAGGGCCAGCGCAGCUGGCUACCCAGUUUAACCGGAAUGAAAAGACCGCGACAUCUGCUCCUGCUCCGCGUCUUGACAAGCCUCAAUUUUGCACCAGGGUGUACCCGCCCGGCAUUAGAAUGAAUCCGAACGUUAGAAGAGGGCUCCCCCGGUGUAUCCUUGCAGGGGCCAGCCCGCGGAGCUGAGGUUCAGAAGUUCCCAACGUGACAUCCGGGACUGACUUUCCUUGGAGGAGGGGAGGGGAUCUGGGUCUAAGCAGGUUAGUUUCUGUUGAGCGGAAAAACCAAACCCUGUAACAGUCAACUGCCCUUCAGAGAGCGAGUAGCUUUGCGUCCCGAUGCUCUGCGCUGACGUUUUCUGCCAGGCAGGUGGAGCCUGGUGGCGGGAGGAGCAGCUUCUCCACCCGCCACGUAGUUGCAGAAGAGGCUCCACCGCGCAAGGAUGUUCUGCAGUGUCGCCUUGGGCGCCGGCUGAUCGAUGAGGAAUUGAGAGAUUGGGAGAUACUGAUUUGCUACGGAUAAAACUGUUCCGCAUUAAUGAAGUCAGAAACGCAUUCAACAGCACCUUUCAAAACACGUAAAGCUUUACAAUUUCAAGCUAGUCAGACUGCAGUCUUGGACUUUUUUUCCCUUUCUCUCUUGAAAUUUGUUUCAUAAAAAUCGAGAGGGUCACUACUAUUGGAGUUUCCAAAAUCUUUUGAACUUGAGAGGUUUUUGUGUGUUUUAUUUAUUUUUAUUUUUAUUUUUAAAUUUUAUUUCUUUUACAAAAGGAACAAAAUGACCAGGGUUAAUUUCAUCAAAACAACGUAAAAAAAUUGAUGUUCUGCAUAAACAUUCAUUUUUCAUAAAAAUGUAAACAGUAUAAUAAGAGAAAAUAAAGUCAUCUCUGCCCCAAUGCUUACUUCAUUAA